UGACCCCAGGUCAGGCGGGGCUACCCGCUGAGUUUAAGCAUAUCAAUAAGUGGAGGAUAAGAAACUUUUGAGGAUUCCCUUUGUAACAGCAAGCGAACUGAGAAGAGCCCAGCUUGAGAAUCAGGUGGCUUUGUCGUUUGAAUUGUAGUCUGUAAAAGCGUCCUCAGCGGUGGACCGGGCCUAAGUCCCCUGGAAGGGGGCACUAGAGAGGGUGAGAGCCCCGUCAUAUCCGGACCUUGUCACACCAUAAGGUGCUGUCGGUGAGUCGAAUUGUUUGAGAAUGCAGCCCUAAUUGGGUGGAAAAUUCUGUCUAAGGCUAAAUAUGGGCGAGAGACUGAUAGCGAACAAGUACCGUGAGGGAAAAAUGAAAAGGACUUUGAAAAGAGAGUCAAAGAGUGCUUGAAAUUAUCGGUAGGGAAGCGGAUGGGGGCCGGCAAUGCGUCUUGGUCGGAUGCAGAACGGUUAAUAACUGGUCCACCGCUAGAAUCGGGGCAUGGACCGAUAUGGAUUGCGACGGUGUCCCAAGCCCGGGUUGUCACAUUAUGUCUGAGAAGAUGUCAUCGCCGUAAUCAUGGUAGGCAGCGUGCGCCUCAAUGGCGGGCCUAUUGGCAACUGUAUACUCCAGGCAUUGUCCUGUCGGGGUCCCCAUUCAACUUGUCUUGAAACAAGGACCAAUGAGUUUGACAUGUGUGUGAGUCAACGGGUGAGUAAAACCCGUAAGGCAUAAGGAAUCUGAUUGGUGGGAUCCCCUUGUGGGUUGCACCGCUGACCGACCUUGAUCUUCAGUGAAGGGUUUGAGUGAGAGCAUACCUGUCGGGACCCGAAAGAUGGUAAACUAUGCCUGAGCGGGGUGAAGUCAGAGGAAACUCUGGUGGAGGCCCACAACGAUACUGACGUGCAAAUCGUUCGUCUGACUUGGGUACAGGGGCGAAAGACUAAUCGAACCAUCUAGUAGCGGGUUCAAUUCAAAGUUUCCCUCAGGAUAACUGGAGCCCGCGGGCGAGUUCUAUCGAGUAAAGCCAAUGAUUAGAGACAUCAGGGGUGCAACGCCCUUGACCUAUUCUCAAACUUUAAUAAGGUAGGACGGCGUGGCUUCUUCAUUAAGCUGCGCCAUGGAAUCGAGAGCUCCAAGUGGGCCAUUUUUGGUAAGUAGAACUGGCGAUGUGGGAUGAACCGAAAGCCAGGUUAUUGUGUCGGAUUGCACACUAACCUAGAACCCACAAAGGGUGUCGGUCGAUUAAGAUAGCAGGACGGUGGUCAUAGAAGUCGAAAUCCGCUAAAGAGUGUGUAACAACUCACUUGUAGAAUCAACUAGCCCUAAAAAUGGAUGGCGCUGAAGCACGCAACCUAUACCCAGUUGUUGGGGCAACUGCCAGGCCUCGAUGAGUACGAGGGCACAACGGUCACCGUAAAACUUGGGGCAUGAGCCCGGGCAGAGCGACCGUCGGUGACGAUCUUGGUGGUAGUAGCAAAAAUUUCAAAUGAGAACUUUGAAGGCCAAAGAGGGGAAAGGUUCUAUGUGAAUGGCACUUGCACAUGGGUUAGUCGAUACUAAGGGACAGGGGAAGCCCAUUAGAGAGCGUGUACACGUGCGUGCUCCAAAAGGGAAUCGGGGUUAAAAUUCCCAAACCGGGCCGUGGCAGUUGACAGCAACGUUAGGAAGUCCAGAGACGUUAGCGAGGACCUCAGGAAGAGAUAUCUUUUCUGUUUAACAGCCUGCCCACCCUGGAAAUAGCUCAGUCGGAGGUAGGGUCCAGCGGCUAGAAGAGCACCGCACGUUGCGUGGUGUCCGGUGUGCCCCCGAUAGCCAUUAAAAAUCUAGAGGACUGAGUGCCGACCAUGCCCGGUCGUACUCAUAACUGCAUUAGGUCUCCAAGGUGAACAACAUCUGGUCGAUGGAACAAUAUAGGUAAGCGAAGUCGGCAAAAUGGAUCCAUAACCUUGGGAAAAGGAUUGGCUCUGAGGGCUGGGCACGGGGGUCCCAGUCCCGAACCCAUCGACUGUUGGUGGACUACUUGAGCUACUUUCACGACUAGAGCGGGUCAUCGCGUGCUGAUCAGGGGAAGGACUGGGAACGGUCCCCUCAUGGGCCUUCCACGGACGUUGAACAGUCGACUCAGAACUGGUACGGAUAAGGGGAAUCCAACUGUUUAAUUAAAACAAAGCUUUGCAAUGGUCCCUACGGAUGCUGACACAAUGUGGUUUCUGCCCAGUGCUCUGAAUAUCAAAGUGAAGAAAUUCAACCAAGCAUGGGUAAAUGAUGGGAGUAAGUCAUCUAAUUAGUGACGCAUAUGAAUGGAUUAACGAGACUCUCACUAUCCCUGUCUACUAUCCAGCGAAACCACAGCCAAGGGAAUGGGCUUGGUAGAAUCAACGGGGAAAGAAGACCCUAUUGAGCUUGACUCUAGUCCGAAUUUGUGAAAUGACUUGAGAGGUGUAGGAUAAGUGGGACCUGGAAAUGGUGCAAGUGAAAUACCACUACUUUUAAUGUUAUUUUACUUACUCCGUGAGUCAGAGGUGGGGCUCUGCCCCUCCUUUUGGACCCAAGGCUCGCCUCAGCAGGGCGAUCCGGGUGGAGGACAUUGUCAGGUGGGGAGUUUGGCUAGGGUGGCACAUCUGUUAAAAGAUAACGCUGGUGUCCUAAGAUGAUCUCAACGAGAAUAGAAAUCUCGUGUGGAACAAAAGGGUAAAAGCUCGUUUGAUUCGGAUUUCUAGUAUGAAUACGAAUCAUGAAAGCAUGGCCUAUCGAUCCUUUAGACCUUCACAAUUUAAAGCUAAAGGUGUCAAAAAAGUUACCACCACAGAGAUAACUGGCUGGUGGCAGCCAAGUGUUCAUAGCGACAUUGCUUUUUGAUCCUUCGAUGUCAGCUCUUCCUAUCAUUACGAAGCAGAAUUCGCCAAGUGUUGGAUUAUUCACCCACCAAUAGGGAACGUGAGCUGGGUUUAGACCGUUGUGAGAUAGGUUAGUUUUUCCCUAUAGAUGAUGACAAUGUCGCGAUAGUAAUUCAACCUAGUAUGAGAGGAACUGUUGAUUCACACAAUUGGUCAUCGUGCUUGGUUGAAAAGCCAGUGCCACGAAGCUGCCGUGUGCCAGAUUAUGACAGAAUGACUCUAAGUCAGAAUCCGGGCUAAAGAAGUGACGCCUGUGCCCAUCGCCCAUUUAUCGACCCGCAGUAGGGGCCCUCUAGCCCCUAGAGGCAUGUGUCAUACGCCCAUGGACUUAGGCCAUUAGGCUAAGUAAGGUCCAAGUUCUCGAGUUUUCUACAAAGGUGUAGUAACUCUAGAUAAUUUUAUAGUAGAUAUUUCUAGAAGAUAUUUAUAGGAGAUAUUUUGGGAGAGAUUUCUAGAGUUCU